AUAUGGCGCCAGAUGGGGUCGUCAUGCCGGAA
rnacentral:scRNA from 1 species